rnacentral:ncRNA from 1 species
UCGUGGAUCAGCAUGUCACGGUGAAUACGUUCCCGGGUCUUGUACACACCGCCCGUCACACCAUGGGAGCGGGUCUCGCCAGAAGUAGGUAGCCUAACCGCAAGGAGGGCGCUUACCACGGCGGGGUUCGUGACUGGGGUGAAGUCGUAACAAGGUAGCCGUAUCGGAAGGUGCGGCUGGAUCACCUCCUUU